UGUAUAUCUAUGUUUUCUUUUUCUUUGUUGGCCUAGUAUGGUUCCAAAUCAGAGGCAGCCGUCUAUCGUUGUCUCUGAUUGGGGAUCAUACUUAGGCAGCCCUUUUUCCCACCUUCAGUUGUGGGAUCUUGUCUUUGUUUGGUUGCAUGUAUUUUUGCACGAUGAAGCUUUUCAUUCAUUGUAUUGUUUAUUGUUUUUUUGCUGGUUCACAUUUCAAUAAAAUAUGAUGAACUCAAAUCACGCUGCGCCUUGGUCUACCCUUAACAACGAACGUUACAGAAGAUCCCACGACCAACGGACCAAGCAGCGUGGUCAGGAGGACUGGACCUGGAAGGAAAUCCUGGAGGGAGCAGGACCCUGGACAAGGGCCAGGGAGUAUCGCCGUCCGAAUGAGGAGAUAGAGGCAGCGAAAGCGGAACGGCGACGAUACGAGGAGUUCAACGAAGCACAAGGCAGCCCCAAAACAUUUUUUGGGGGGGAGCACAUGGGGAGAUUGGUAGAGUCAGGGUUCAGACCUGAGCCAACUCCCCGUGCUUACCGUGGAGAGCGAGUGACCGGUCAAGCACCGUGUUAUCCGGUUCUGCGCACCAUGCCUUCAGUGUGCAUCCACAGCCCGGUGCGCUCUGUGCAAGCUCCCCGCAGUUUCCGUGCUAGAGUGGGCAUUCAGCCAGGACGGAUUGUGCCGGCUCAGCGCUCCUGGCCUCCGGUGCGUCUCUUCGGUCCAGAAUAUCCUGCGCCAUUUCUACGCACGGUAUCCCCAGUUCGCCAGCACAGCCCAGUGAGGCCUGUUCCAGCUCCCCACACUUGCCGUGCUACAGGGGGGAUUCAGCCAGGACGCGUUGUGCCAGCUCUGCGCUCCAGACCUCCAGUGCGCCUCCACGGCCCAGCAUAUCCUGCGCCGGCUCUACGCACUAUGCCUCCAGUGCGCCUUCAUAGCCCAGUGCAUCCCGUGCCAGCUCUCCACACUCACCGAGCUGGAUUGGGUAUCCAGCCAGGAAGUGUUGUGGCAGCUCCCCGCACCAGGCUUCCAGUACGUCUCCUCAGUCCGGUGAGACCUGUUCCGGCUCCACAUACGAAGCCUCCAGUGUGGAUCCAUGGUCCGAAGCCUCCAGUGAUGAUCCAUGGCACGAAGCCUCCAGUGAUGAUCCAUGGCCCGGAGCCUCUAGUGAUAAUCCAUGGCAUGAAGCCUUCAGUGAUGAUCCAUGGCCUGGAGCCUGUCGUGACGAUCCAUGGCAAGGAGCCUGCAUUGACGGUUCCCAGUCCUGAGCCUGAAGCUACGGUCCCCAGCGACGGUCCCCAGUCCGGAGCCUCCAGCGACGGUCCCCAGUCCGGAGCCUCCAGCGACGGUCCGCAGUCCGGAGUCUUCAGCGACGGUCUGCAGUCCGGAGCCUCCAGCGACGGUCUGCAGUCCAGAGUCUCCAAUGACGGUCCGCAGUCCGGAGCCUCCAGCGACGAUUUGCAGCCCAGAGCCUCCAGCAAUGAUCUGCAGUCCAGUCUUCAGCGACGAGCUGCAGUCCGGAGCCUCCAGCGGUGGUUCCCAGUUCAUAGCCUCUGGCGAUAAUCAACGGUCCGGUCCCUCCGGCAACGAUUCACGGUCCGGAGUCUCCAGCGACGAUCAACGGUCCAGUUCCACAGAAGCGGAGGGAUCCGGCGAAGGUCCGGAGUAUCCGGCGACGAUCCACGGUCCGGUUCCACAGAAGCGGAAGGAUCAGAGUAGGAUCAGAGCGGGGGCUACAUCCUGAACCGGAGCCGCCACCGAGAGUAGAUGCCCACCCGGACCCUCCCCUAUAGGUUCAGGUAUUUUUUUUUUGGGGGGGNNNNNNNNNNNNNNNNNNNNNNNNNNNNNNNNNNNNNNNNNNNNNNNNNNNNNNNNNNNN
rnacentral:lncRNA from 13 species